GACGAACGCUGGCGGCGUGCUCAACACAUGCAAGUCGAGCGGUAAGGCCCUUCGGGUACGACGAGCGGCGAACGGGUGAGUAACACGUGGGUGACCUGCCUCUAGCUCUGGGAUAAGCCUGGGAAACUGGGUCUAAUACCGGAUAUGACUCCACGGCGCAUGUUGUGGGGUGGAAAGCCUUGUGUGGCUAGAGAUGGGCCCGCGGCCUAUCAGCUUGUUGGUGGGGUGAUGGCCUACCAAGGCGACGACGGGUAGCCGGCCUGAGAGGGCGGACCGGCCACACUGGGACUGAGACACGGCCCAGACUCCGUACGGGAGGGCAGCGAGUGGGGAAUCUUGCGCAAUGGGCGAAAGCCUGACGCAGCGACGCCGCGUGAGGGAUGACGGCCUGGUGUAACU
rnacentral:rRNA from 1 species